GCCGCCCCAGCCAGUCGCAGUGUACGGGCUUCUCAUUGCAGUGGCUUCUCUUGCUGAGGAGCACAGGCUCUAGAGCACUCGGGCUUUAGUAGUUGUAACACAUGGGCUCAGUAGUUGCAGUUCCUGGGUUCUAGAGCACAGGCUCAACAGUUGUGGUGCCCAGGCUUGAUUGCCCCAUGGCAUGUGGGAUCUUCCCAGAUCAAGGAUGGAAUCCAUGUCUCCUGCAUUGGCACGUGGCUUCUUUACCACUGAACCACCAGGGAAGCCCUAAAGCUUUCUGAUUGGCGCAAACCACCCAGCAGGAGGACGCUUACUGGAGCCUGACUAGAAAGAGUAACAAUUUUAUGUGCUCAGGUGAUGCUGAAGAUGCAUGUCUGUGGACCACACUGCAGGUUUGACAGAAGUGUUAUGUGAGACACUGAUGUGAAGAUUCUGCCUCCCAGGAGCAUUUUGGUCCCUAGUAUCGAGCACUACCCUCCUCCCACCAUCCUCUCUUAAAAUUCAAACAUUCCUUGAAAGGUUAACAAAUUCAUUGUGAACAGGGAAUUGGUGACCAUUUCAAAAUGCACAUCCUAAGAGCAAUGAAACACAGAAAAAGAAACCAAAAUGGGAAGGGACACAGGAGAGGCAAAAGUUGUUGAAGAUGAAAGUGAUCCAGCAAGAGACUAACGUGACAGGAUAAGUCUUCAAGAAAGAUAUCUGCAAAGAAGAUGUCUGUCCCCCCUUAUCACAGGCACAGGAGGUGCCCCAUUAUGUGACCACUGGACCCAGCUUUUCUACAAUGAGACUACCUGAAUGUCUUACUGGUGACCACUUAAGCUCUUCUGAUUCGUGCUGGCUAAUUUUAUAG
ensembl:lncRNA